GAACGGAACCAGCCGGCUGAACGGAGUCGCCAGGCCGAUGGUUAAGGCUCUCGCCCUGAGAGAAUGCAAGAGGGGGAAACCGGUGACUUGUGUGUUAUAACGUCGUGCUGCUGAAAGCAACAACGUCCUUCUGGAAUCCAUCUAAUUCUGCAACUGGAAGGGCAACAAUCCAGGCACAAGGCCAACGCAAAGGCUUGGAAAAUAAUGUAUUGCAUUAGGGCAGGGAGAAGAAUAUUGGAUAAACAAAGCAGGGUACGGCUGCAGAAGUUAUGGGGCUGGAAUAAGGAUAAACUGUAAGCCACAUGCUGAAGUUCAGAGAAAGACACAUUUACUGGAACAGGACUAAGCACAGUGGACAUAGCCCAAAGCCUGGAGAGGGUGGCAGGAUUGAUUCCAGGGAGGUCAGAGACAAGAGCAGAAAGGUGGUUAUCAGAGGCUAUGACUGUGGUCCCAUCUGUACCUCUGAUUGCUCCCAGAUUGAGACUUAUGGAGGACCCCAUCCCCCAAACGUGGCUGACAGGGCAUCCUGGUAACAAAGCCAGUAAACCAGACAUUCUUCUCACCUGCUAGGAAGGAAGGUAAUUGGACA